GGCAUCAGGAAGAAAGCUUGCUUUCUUUGCUGGCGACCGGCGCACGGGUGAGUAACACGUAUCCAACCUGCCCUUUACUCGGGGAUAGCCUUUCGAAAGAAAGAUUAAUACCCGAUAGCAUAAUGAUUCCGCAUGGUUUCAUUAUUAAAGGAUUCCGGUAAAGGAUGGGGAUGCGUUCCAUUAGGUUGUUGGUGAGGUAACGGCUCACCAAGCCUUCGAUGGAUAGGGGUUCUGAGAGGAAGGUCCCCCACAUUGGAACUGAGACACGGUCCAAACUCCUACGGGAGGCAGCAGUGAGGAAUAUUGGUCAAUGGGCGUUAGCCUGAACCAGCCAAGUAGCGU
rnacentral:rRNA from 1 species